CCUACGGGAGGCAGCAGUGGGGAAUUUUGGACAAUGGGGGCAACCCUGAUCCAGCCAUUCCGCGUGAGUGAAGAAGGCCUUCGGGUUGUAAAGCUCUUUCGCAAGGGAAGAAAACUUAUGAUCGAAUAAAUCAUGAGGUUGACGGUACCUUGAUAAGAAGCACCGGCUAACUGCGUGCCAGCAGCCGCGGUAAUACGUAGGGUGCGAGCGUUAAUCGGAAUUACUGGGCGUAAAGCGUGCGCAGGCGGUUUUGUAAGUCGGAUGUGAAAUCCCCGGGCUCAACCUGGGAACUGCGUUCGAAACUGCAAGGCUAGAGUGUGUCAGAGGGGGGUUAGAAUUCCACGUGUAGCAGUGAAAUGCGUAGAGAUGUGGAGGAAUACCAAUGGCGAAGGCAGCCCCCUGGGAUAACACUGACGCUCAUGCACGAAAGCGUGGGGAGCAAACAGGAUUAGAUACCCUGGUAGUCCACGCCCUAAACGAUGUCAACUAGUUGUGGGUAGAGUAAAAUCUAUGAGUAACGUAGCUAACGCGCGAGUUGACCGCCUGGGGAGUCGGUGCAAGNUUAAACUUNAAAGGAAUUG
rnacentral:rRNA from 1 species